GGCCACGCCCCCGGCCGGAGUCUGGGCCCGCCGAGGCCGAUCUGGGGCGCGCCGCGCCCUUUCCGUUUAGCCGGGGAUGCAGGGCCCCGCCGGGAAAGGUGGUGGAAGCCCUCACCCUACUCCCAGCAGCAUAGGUUAAGGGUGAGCCGACCGGGCCGGCUUCUCCAGCGGCUGGGAAGCGGGGAUCUCAGGUGUGAGUGAGGAGGAACCGGGCCGACCCCAAGCCUCCUGUCCCUCCACGCAGAGAACCCAGGACCCUCCUCUGCACCUCCCCGCCAGCCUCCUACCUCAGGGACGCCCCGCCAGCCACGCACAGUGGAUAGCCGUCGCCUUCGAGGCCCUUCACACACGGACCGCUAACCCCAGUCUUUCUUGCUCUUGUCAAAUAUUUUCUAAACUGCCAAGUUCCACUCAGAGGAUGCUCUCCUCACAUCUGUCCCAGAAUGAUGGCUUCUUGGAUCUCUAGGAAGAAGUGGACAGAGACCCAGAGAGUGACCCCCGAGGGGAAUCUGCAGGCACUCCCCAAAGGGCGCUUGGGAUCACGUCCCUCUGCACACCUCGGGAAAGAGGGAGAUCUGUCUCCUGGAGAGUGUGGUCUCAGUUCCCUGAGGCCGAGCGAAGUCCUUACCUCUGCAGCAGACCCCUAGCAGUCCCGGUCCUGAUGUCCUGGCCAGUGCAGCCCACAGAACCGACCAGGGAGGGAAUCCCAAAAUGCCUCUGAAAUCAAAGCCAGCAGUCCCCACUGUGCAAGUGAAUACUCCGUGCACAGCUGGCCUACCAAGUGACAACAGCUUCCGGAGUCAUUGUAGCAAGUCUCCUUCCCACCUCCGCUGCUCUCCUCUCAGAAACAAGCUCUCUGAGAGCAGCACGCCUGUUUCAACGUGAGCCCCCUCAGCCCCUUACGCAAAGCUGAGCAGAGAAAUCCCGUUUCUGGCCGAGUGACUGGAGCCAGAAAAACAAGUGAAGAAACUUUCUUUCUGACCUCUUCAAGAAAUAACCACUGAAUUCAGCCAUCCUGCCAGCUCCCUUACCAGAUCUGAGACUCCCAGCCACCACUGGGUCUUGCCUGGGUUCCCGCCCUCAGCAGGCCCCCCACAUCCCAGCUGAGCCCAAGAUCCCGAAGGGCAAGACUAUUGUUCGCUUCACUCUUUUAGACAAGCCUGCCCUUCAGCAUCACGCAUCUGGGGUACAAUAGCCAUUCAGGGGCAUGGAAAUAGGGGAGUCCCUUACAAGACUAACAGCAGUCCUCGAACCAAAUCUUGGCUUCCAGUGCUGUAGCUGAAGGUCUCUUGGCAAAUUACUGGAUUUCUCUCUCAGCCUCAGUUUCCUUAUCCAUAAAACUGGGAUAAUAGACGCCCCGCUCCGACUGCUGUGGAGAGUAGAGGUGACAGAGAGACAGUGCAUAGCCCUUCACCUGCGCCAAGCAGCUGUUCAACAACUGGCCGCUGUCCCCACCCUCAGCAGGCUGUCCAGCUCAAGGCCUGCGUCCCCAGGAGCCGGGAGCCGGCCAGGGCUGCGUGGGCCUGCCUGCACUUGCUGCUUCGUGCUUCGUGGGACGUUAACAACAGGCGGAGAGCAGACCUGGGAUGCUGGGCUCCCAGAACCCCCUGGGCCAGGAGGAGUCUCAGGACCACCACUGAGCUCAAGGGGGGCUGGACAUCCCCACAGAAGCUCUGCUGCGCGUGGUCCAGCCGUCCCCACUCCUCCCGGGAGAGGUACAGAGCCACGUCCUCGAAGGUUACUGGCAUCUGAAGCAACACAAAAUGACCGUAUCUGCUCGCAGGACCAGGACUGGGGGGGACGAGGCGGCACCGAGAUGUGUGGCGAGAGCCCAGGGCCCAGCCCACCGCUCCGCCUGAGGCUGCCGGGCGGAUCCGGACCGUGAGGGAGGCCGGAUCCCAGGAGGGUCUCAGUUAGUGACUUAUUUGUUUAGAACGAAGCGGUGAUGGAGCGCUGGAGACCAGAGACCAGAGCUGAGGCUCGGGACCUCAACACACGCAGACCCCCGGGGACGUCACAACCAGAGACGCUGUCUCUCCCCUUCCCUGUGCCUCUGCCCUGCGUGGGCCCGAAGCAGCGGGGGCUGCCCCAGGUGGGGGAUCGGCGGGUAGGAAGGGCUGAGCGCCUCGGGGGGCAGGGAAGGCCCCUGGCGAGAGGAGGGGCGGGCAGAGCCACUCACCUGGGACCAGGCAGUGAGGAGCGCCGCGGCCAUCUGCCGGUCUUGGGCUCUGCCCUCCCUGGGGAGCGCGGGGACCUGGGGGCCGAGGAGGGCUGAGAGAGGAGAGAGGUCCUCAGGGUGGCCGGCUCGGCCUGCUGGGGGCCCCGCGCUCCCCCCAGGGGCUCAGGCCUGGCCUUCCAGGGACAUUCCUGGCCCUCCCUCCAGCCCCGAGAUACCGCGUGGGGGGCCUCUGCAGGGCAGGAUGGCAGACUCCCAC